rnacentral:rRNA from 1 species
AUACGGAGGGUGCAAGCGUUAAUCGGAAUUACUGGGCGUAAAGCGCGCGUAGGCGGAUUAGUAAGUCGGAUGUGAAAGCCCUGGGCUCAACCUGGGAAUUGCAUUCGAUACUGCUUGACUAGAGUAUGGUAGAGGGCAGUGGAAUUUCCGGUGUAGCGGUGAAAUGCGUAGAUAUCGGAAGGAACACCAGUGGCGAAGGCGGCCACCUGGCUUGAUACUGACGCUGAGGUGCGAAAGCGUGGGGAGCAAACAGGAUUAGAAACCCCAGUAGUCC